rnacentral:rRNA from 1 species
AUUGAACGCUGGCGGCAGGCCUAACACAUGCAAGUCGAGCGAGCGGCGGACGGGUGAGUAAUGUAUGGGGAACUGCCCGAUAGAGGGGGAUAACUACUGGAAACGGUGGCUAAUACCGCAUACUAUUGGAUGAGCCCAUAAGGGAUUAGCUAGUAGGUGGGGUAAAGGCUCACCUAGGCGACGAUCCUUAGCUGGUCUGAGAGGAUGAUCAGCCACACUGUGACUGAGACACGGCCCAGACUCCUACGGGAGGCAGCAGUGGGGAAUAUUGGACAAUGGGCGCAAGCCUGAUGCAGCCAUGCCGCGUGUAUGAAGAAGGCCUUCGGGUUGUAAAGUACUUUUAUCGGGGAGGCGUUACCCGCAGAAGAAGCACCGGCUAACUCCGUGCCAGCAGCCGCGGUAAUAC